AGUGAACGCUGGCGGCAGGCCUAACACAUGCAAGUCGAGCGGCAGCGCGGGGCAACCUGGCGGCGAGCGGCGGACGGGUGAGGAAUACAUCGGAAUCUACCCUGUCGUGGGGGAUAACGUAGGGAAACUUACACUAAUACCGCAUACGAACUGAGGUUGAAAGCGGCGGACCGCAAGGCGUCGCGCGAUUGGAUGAGCCGAUGUCCGAUUAGCUAGUUGGCGGGGUAAAGGCCCACCAAGGCGACGAUCGGUAGCUGGUCUGAGAGGACGACCAGCCACACUGGAACUGAGACACGGUCCAGACUCCUACGGGAGGCAGCAGUGGGGAAUAUUGGACAAUGGGGGCAACCCUGAUCCAGCCAUGCCGCGUGUGUGAAGAAGGCCUUCGGGUUGUAAAGCACUUUUGUCCGGAACGAAAAGCGGUCGACUAAUACUCGGCCGUGCUGACGGUACCGGAAGAAUAAGCACCGGCUAACUUCGUGCCAGCAGCCGCCGUAA
rnacentral:rRNA from 1 species